rnacentral:lncRNA from 1 species
CUCUGUUGCAUAUAUUCGUUCAUCUCAUGCUUUCUGAUCUUUGUCCUACAGAAGAUAUGAAUAGAUUAAUCAGUCAAAGCAGAACAUACUAUAUUUGUGCAAGUACAAUAAGGAUUAAAAUAAAAAGUGCACUCUUCUUUUCCUUCUUCUUUGCUGAAAUUCAAUAGACCAAAAUCAAAUCACCGGCCUGAGAACUAACAAAUAUUGUCACAUGACACUUAUGUAUGAAUGAUUGCUUACACACUAAUUUCCAAAACGUAACUUCUUUCAUGUCUAUAAAGUUAUGAAUAAUCGAAUAGCAAACUUGUUAUGGAAAAAAAAGUAACACCCCAAUUCAAUUUGGUACAUACAGGAUCGAUAAUUAGCAGAAGUGAGUCUUGCUCCCGUCAGCAUAAAGGAAAAGAACAACGAUAAGAAUCUCUCUAACAAAAUCAACAUAAAAGGCCUAUAUUGUCUCCUCUUUAGUUUCUAGCUCAAAACAUCGCAUCCUCUACAUAAAAAGGUCGAUAUGAAUUGCUAGAAACUACUUACUCGUUUGGCUUCAACACCGCAAUAUCCCCACCUGGUAAUGCAUAUGAGUCUCCAGGUAUAGCCAUUAGCAUAGACUUGAGAUUGCAGUGGGAGGUUUCACUAUUUCAAAGUCAUAAUUUGGAUCUCCAUUGGUUGGGUAGCAUUGUAUCAAAUGCACUAUAUAGAAGUAUUUUAUCAAGUAUGCAUUUUAGUAGUGCAUUUGUUUCAUCUAAGAACUUUUAUUUACUUGAGUGUUGAAAAAAAAAUACCAAACUAUAUUUGCAGG